CAGCAAGGCUUGGCGCGGUAUAAAUAAAACAAAAUAUCGAGUGAAAGCCCACCAAGCAAGAACAAGAAGACCGAGGCAUCCAAAAAUUUUUUUUUUUUUUUUUUCUCCGAUAUACCGAAGCAUGAAGAAGAAGACCGAGGCAUCCAAAAUUUUUUUUUUUUUUUUUUUUUUUCUCCGAUAUACCGAAGCAUGAAUAAGAAGACCGAGGCAUCCAAAAUUUUUUUUUUUUCUUUUUUGAUAUACCGAAGAAUGAACAAGAAGACCGAGGCAUCCAAAAUAUAUAUAUUUUUUUUCUCCGAUAUACCAAAGCAAGAACAAGAAGACCAAGGCUUCCAAAAUUUUUUUUUUUUUUUUUUUUUUUUUUAAUAUAUAUAUAUAUAUACCGAAGAAUGAACAAGAAGACCGAGGCAACCAAAAUUUUUUUUUAUUUUCCUCCGAUAUACCAAAGCAAGAACAAGAAGACCGAGGCUUCAAAAAAAUUUUUUUUUUUUUUUCUUUUUUGAUAUACCGAAGAAUGAACAAGAAGACCGAGGCAUCCAAAAUUUUUUUUUUUUUUUUCUCCGAUAUACCAAAGCAAGAACAAGAAGACCGAAGCAUCCAAAAUUUUUUUUUUUUUUUCUCCGAUAUACCAAAGCAAGAACAAGAAGACCGAAGUCUCAAAUUUUUUUUUUUUUUUUUUUUUUUUUUUUUUUUUUA